AAAGGUGUACUUAAGUCAGACUUGUGAGUCAUCCUGGACACAGUUUGAAAAUACUAAGCUUGUGAGUAACUGAGCCAAGAUAUGUGACCUGAAAAACAUUCUAUCAAGCUAAAGAAAACUUCCCAAACUAAAGACUCAUACUGAACCAGAAGCCUGUGUCAUUGUUUCAGACACAUGUAAUUGCCCAUUAGGAGCCCCACUGAGGACACUUCUCUUUGUGUUGCUCGGCCUCUUGUAGUAGACUCAGGUACAUGGCAAAUGAACAAAUAACAGCACAAUUAUUAGUCACAAUGUCUCUUCACACACAUUUUCAGCAUUGGUCUAAAAUAGUUCCAAGAAUCUUUCCUCAAGGUUAAAAUUAAUCACAACAGAUGGUCCGAUUUUAAGAGAUUUGGAAAAAGUUUUGUUGCUCUGUUAACGUGGUACUGUCCCAUCAAGUGUGUCAGCUAUAUCUAGAAAGGACACAGUGAUGGAAGGAACUCUGAGAAGAACACUUGACAUAAGCAGGGGUUCUUAUCUGGGCAUCCCAUUCACUCCUCAACCCACUGCACCUUAGAAUGCUAAUUCAGUAUUUAAAACUACUUUCUUAAAAGGCCACUAAUGAAGUUGCCAGAGCCCCACCUCUGCAUCAUUUCACACUGUUAGUGACUAAUUUCCUUCACACACCUGUCCUCUUACUUGACCCUGUAUGCAUCAAUAUUCUUUUCUUUGCAGGGCACUCUAUCAGUGAGCAAAGUUACUUUUAGAAAAAUUACAGCCUUGAUUUUUUUGAAGCUAUUCAAUGUAUGCUAGCCAUGUAAACAAAAUUUGAUGUGAUGUCUAGCUGACUUGAUCAUGUCAUAUCAAUAUGUAUGUAUCUCUGUUAACUAUGCAGACUAAUAAAACCUUCAAACUGAAGGGACCUGAGAAAAACAU
rnacentral:lncRNA from 1 species